AACGAACGCUGGCGGCAUGCCUAACACAUGCAAGUCGAACGGCAGCACAGGAGAGCUUGCUCUCUGGGUGGCGAGUGGCGGACGGGUGAGGAAUACAUCGGAAUCUACCUUUUCGUGGGGGAUAACGUAGGGAAACUUACGCUAAUACCGCAUACGACCUACGGGUGAAAGUGGGGGACCGCAAGGCCUCACGCGAUUAGAUGAGCCGAUGUCCGAUUAGCUAGGUGGCGGGGUAAUGGCCCACCAAGGCGACGAUCGGUAGCUGGUCUGAGAGGAUGAUCAGCCACACUGGAACUGAGACACGGUCCAGACUCCUACGGGAGGCAGCAGUGGGGAAUAUUGGACAAUGGGCGCAAGCCUGAUCCAGCCAUACCGCGUGGGUGAAGAAGGCCUUCGGGUUGUAAAGCCCUUUUGUUGGGAAAGAAAUCCUAUCGGUUAAUAACCGGUGGGGAUGACGGUACCCAAAGAAUAAGCACCGGCUAACUUCGUGCCAGCAGCCGCCGUAAAAC
rnacentral:rRNA from 1 species